rnacentral:rRNA from 1 species
GACAUAGGGGGCAAGCGUUAUCCGGAAUUACUGGGCGUAAAGAGAUCGUAGGCGGUUAAUUAAGUUAAGUGUGAAAGCCUUGGGCUCAACCCAAGAAUUGCUCUUAAUACUGGUUAACUAGAGUGUUGGAGAGGUAAGUGGAAUUUCUAGUGUAGCGGUAAAAUGCGUAGAUAUUAGGAGGAACAUCAGUGGCGAAGGCGGCUUACUGGACAACAACUGACGCUGAGGAUCGAAAGCGUGGGGAGCAAAC